GACGAACGCUGGCGGCGUGCCUAAUACAUGCAAGUAGAACGCACAGUUUAUACCGUAGCUUGCUACACCAUAGACUGUGGGUUGCGAACGGGUGAGUAACGCGUAGGUAACCUGCCUGGUAGCGGGGGAUAACUAUUGGAAACGAUAGCUAAUACCGCAUAAUAUUAAUUAUUGCAUGAUAAUUAAUUUAAAGGUGCAAUUGCACCACUACCAGAUGGACCUGCGUUGUAUUAGCUAGUAGGUGAGGUAACGGCUCACCUAGGCGACGAUACAUAGCCGACCUGAGAGGGUGAUCGGCCACACUGGGACUGAGACACGGCCCAGACUACUACGGGAGGCAGCAGUAGGGAAUCUUCGGCAAUAGACGAAAGUCUGACCGAGCAACGCCGCGUGAGUGACGAAGGUUUUCGGAUCGGAAAGCUCUGUUGUAAGAGAAGAACGGGUGUGGGAGUGGAAAGUUCACACUGUGACGGUAUCUUACCAGAAAGGGACGGCUAACUACGUG
rnacentral:rRNA from 1 species